rnacentral:lncRNA from 1 species
AAUUAUUAUUAUUAUUAUUACUAGCGUAAUAACCUGUGAGAUGCGACGGAUAGAUAAUUAAAGAAAAAAUUUUAAAAAAAACGACAAUAAAAAAAGCGAUAAUGAUUGGAAUUUAUCUUGCUGAUGAACGAAAGUAACAGUCAAAGAAACAGAAAGAUGAAGGACUUAAAAACUGGUUCAGAGUGAAGCCCACAUUCAACCAUAAAAAAAAUGUUGUCAUGUGUCAACUUAAAAAAAAAUAAUGUAUAAAUAAAUAAAUAAAUAAAUAAAUAUAAAAGUAUAGAAAUAUAAAUUAUUAUUAUUAUUAUUAUUAUUAUUAUAAACGGACACGG